rnacentral:rRNA from 1 species
UACGGAGGGUGCAAGCGUUAUCCGGAUUCACUGGGUUUAAAGGGUGCGUAGGAGGGUAGGUAAGUCAGUGGUGAAAUCUCCGGGCUCAACUCGGAAACUGCCGUUGAUACUAUCUGUCUUGAAUACCGUGGAGGUGAGCGGAAUAUGUCAUGUAGCGGUGAAAUGCUUAGAUAUGACAUAGAACACCAAUUGCGAAGGCAGCUUACUACACAAUGAUUGACGCUGAGGCACGAAAGCGUGGGGAUCAAACAGG